UGGGAGCCUUGUGUGUGGCCCUGUGCUGCUGACUCACCAGGCUGAGGAGAGCGAAAACAUGCUAGGGAUGAAGAAGGGGCCUGUUAUGCCCUGCCACCACCUCCAAACCGCCCUGCCACCCCAGAUUGCUUUUGGUCAGGGGCUUCCUGAGGACACCAGCUGCCCCGAGGAGACUGACCCAGAGGUUUCCGAAGUGUCUCUCAUUUGAUUCCAUUAAAAGCAACCAGAAUCAGAAGUUCCCAUGGCCGAUGCUUGAGGGUGGAUUUGAAUGGAGACGUGACUUCACUACUCAAGAAGUGAUGCAGGAAAACGGAGAAUGACUUAAGUUUUCAAAAGCACGAGAAAAUCAGCACCCCAACUGCUAAGUGUU
rnacentral:lncRNA from 1 species